rnacentral:lncRNA from 1 species
UUUUUAUAAUAAAAAUAUAUAAAACGUAUCUCAACUAUCAUCCAUUUAUAUAUAACUAUCCGUCCUUUAAAAAUUUUAAUUUUACUAUAUAAUCUUUAAAUUUUUUUGUUUUUAUUUGAGACAGUUAGUCAGUGACCUUUUAAUUUCAAAAUUUGAGAGAACAGUUUACUCUUAUAGGUUUGGUUAAUAUAUUUUUUAUAAUUUUACGUAGCUAUAAAUUUAUUUGAAAAGCCAUCAAAUUAUUGGAAUUAAAUAAAUUUAAAAAAUUGAGUAUAAAGAUUAAAAUUUUGAAAGACCAGAUGAUCG